AAAAUGAUAAUACUAACUAUAAAAAUAAAAAUUGUACAUAUCAUUUGUACAAUUCUCAAUGCAGUGAAUACACUUUGCCUUGCAAUCUGUAUUCCUGGUGACAUUUCAUUUUCAAGACAAUUCUAUGAAGUUGGAUUUCAUAAGCUCAUUUUACAGAUGAGGAGGAAGAGAGAACAGAGGACACACACAUAUAAAUGCAUGCUGCCUCUUCAUAUGGUACCCUUAUCCACCUGGGAUUCUGCCAGAAUUCCUAUCUUCCUCCCAGUGGUGGUGAAGACAAAGAUAAAACCAAACUACAGCUUCUUCGAUAGCUAUCAUAGUAAACUGUAUAAACUGAUGCAUCAAUGAAUAAUAACUCAACAAGUAAUGCUCAAUCAAGGAGUCAAUUUACUUUGGUAGGAAAUGGACAUAUUGAUAGGUUCCUCUGCUUUGAACUGCUUGCAGAACUUGCCGGGACUAUGUAUCACUUGUAUGCAUUGUGAAGUAUCUGUUGGUGCAGUGAAUUGUGGUAGUGCUGGAGUAUCUUUGCUGAUGGUGUCACCGGUGGUACAAUUUUUCCAAAGAAGCCCUCAUUUGGCUUGGUGUCCUGGUGUUCUGCAUCCUCCUCCCUUUUGCUAGUGAUGGUCUAAAAUUUGUUGGCCAACAGAGGUGAGGCAAAGAACCUCACCCCCCUACUCUCACCAAUGCCAAAUUUGGGGGCCAACAGAGGUGAGGCAAAGAUCCUCAUUCCCCCACUAGCAAAGGCCAAGUUUGGGGGCCAACAGAGGUGAGGCAAACAAUCUCACCCCCCCAAUGGUGCAUAGGCCUAUCCACAAGUAUAGCUGUAUGCUGGACUGGUAGUCAGUGACGGGUAAGAUCCAAUUGCAGUGGUACCAACCUAAGAGAGGAGGCUGAUGCUUUGCGGUCAGCUCAUCCAAUGAAGGGUAAGACCAUAUGUAGUUGGACAGCCUAACAGGCAUGGUCCCUAAGCCACAUGCAUGGUGUUUAAUUAAAGAGAAGGGGGGAGAUGCUGAGAGCCAUAGCUGAGUUGGAAUGACGCAUGGCAUUUUUGCCAGAAUGGAGUGGUGGGGAGGUGAUGCCAGCAAGCCAUUGAGAUGAUAAUGGUUAUGUUAAGCUGUGUAUUGUAUAUUAGACCCCUGCUGUCUGCCUUGGCCUGCUACUUUGGAGUUCUCA
rnacentral:lncRNA from 1 species